rnacentral:rRNA from 1 species
CUUGCUAAGUUUGAUGGCGACCGGCGCACGGGUGAGUAACACGUAUCCAACCUGCCGAUAACUCGGGGAUAGCCUUUCGAAAGAAAGAUUAAUACCCGAUGGCAUAAUAGAACCGCAUGGUUUGGUUAUUAAAGAAUUUCGGUUAUCGAUGGGGAUGCGUUCCAUUAGGCAGUUGGUGGGGUAACGGCCCACCAAACCUUCGAUGGAUAGGGGUUCUGAGAGGAAGGUCCCCCACAUUGGAACUGAGACACGGUCCAAACUCCUACGGGAGGCAGCAUG